rnacentral:lncRNA from 1 species
UGGGUGGAGGAGGUUGCACUUGGGGGGGGCCCGCAGAGCAGAUGGAGUCAGUCUGGCACCCGCUUUGCUCCCGGGACACCACUGAUCCCUUAGAGAAAGGGAGCCUCAGUUUCCCCAUCUGUAAGACGGGAAGGAGAGAGAUUUGGGGGAUAAAGCCACCACAGAGCCCUCAGAGGCAGGAAGAACACAUCCCAGGCUGGGCCUCAGGAGGGUACAGCUGGGUCCUGUGACCCUGGGAAGGGGCCAUCCAGGAUGGCCACUCCAGCGGCCCCAGCAAUGCAGACAAAGUGUGGCCUCCACAAAAGGCCUGGAUGGAGGCUGGAGGGUUUGUUUUUUUUUUUUGGAAUAACCAUGAGGUUUGAAAAACCAGCCUCUACCUCAGAGCACAGCCUGUCCAAGGAAGGGACAUCACCUUUGCCCUUGGAAAGACCCACAGAGCGCUCCUAGACACAUUCCCACCCUGCUAAGUUGUUUAUCUACAACUGCGACAGGUGUCCCUGACUCAGUCAGGCUAGGUGGGGACCCAUAGCAAGCCCCUAGCAGCCACCAAUCAGCAUGAGACAAGGGAAAUACCUGGGAUGCCAGAUGACCCUCCCAGUAGUUUAUGGCGGUUGAUAACGUGUUGGGAAACCAUGCAGUUCAGCAGGAACAUCCCUCUUGGCUUAAACCAGUCAGUUCAAACGAAUCCCCCUCUUGUACUGACCAAUCACCCCUACCCAACUUGUUCCCGCCAGUGAAUGUGCUAAUCAUGUUUUAGAGUUGUUAUUUGAUUUUCCCGCGGUGUGUGAUGAUUUGCUGAGAGAUGCUAUGAUGUAUGUGAAGUCCCUGCCUUCUCCAAAGAAUGUAUAAAACUGCUGCAAACCCUGGGCUCGGGGCCUAUCGGCGUCACCAGUUGCUCUGUGUGUGCGCGGAGGCCCGAGCUAGCUCGCAAUAAACACCUCGUUG